rnacentral:rRNA from 1 species
CUCGUAGACUCCUACGGGAGGCAGCAGUGGGGAAUAUUGCACAAUGGGCGCAAGCCUGAUGCAGCCAUGCCGCGUGUGUGAAGAAGGCCUUCGGGUUGUAAAGCACUUUCGGUCGUGAGGAAGGUAGUGUAGUUAAUAGCUGCAUUAUUUGACGUUAGCGACAGAAGAAGCACCGGCCAACUACGUGCCAGCAGCCGCGGUAACACGUAGGGUGCGAGCGUUGUCCGGAAUUAUUGGGCGUAAAGAGCUCGUAGGCGGUGUGUCGCGUCGGCCGUGAAAACUUGGGGCUUAACUCUGAGCGUGCGGUCGAUACGGGCAUCACUUGAGUUCGGCAGGGGAGACUGGAAUUCCUGGUGUAGCGGUGAAAUGCGCAGAUAUCAGGAGGAACACCGGUGGCGAAGGCGGGUCUCUGGGCCGAUACUGACGCUGAGGAGCGAAAGCAUGGGGAGCGAACAGGAUUAGAUACCCUGGUAG